GACGGACGCUGGCGGCGUGCUUAACACAUGCAAGUCGAACGGAAAGGCCCUGCUUUUGUGGGGUGCUCGAGUGGCGAACGGGUGAGUAACACGUGAGUAACCUGCCCUUGACUUUGGGAUAACUUCAGGAAACUGGGGCUAAUACCGGAUAGGAGCUCCUGCUGCAUGGUGGGGGUUGGAAAGUUUCGGCGGUUGGGGAUGGACUCGCGGCUUAUCAGCUUGUUGGUGGGGUAGUGGCUUACCAAGGCUUUGACGGGUAGCCGGCCUGAGAGGGUGACCGGCCACAUUGGGACUGAGAUACGGCCCAGACUCCUACGGGAGGCAGCAGUGGGGAAUAUUGCACAAUGGGCGGAAGCCUGAUGCAGCAACGCCGCGUGCGGGAUGACGGCCUUCGGGUUGUGAACCGCUUUCGCCUGUGACGAAGCGUGAGUGACGGUAAUGGGUAAAGAAGCACCGGCUAACUACGUG
rnacentral:rRNA from 1 species